rnacentral:rRNA from 1 species
UACGUAGGGUGCAAGCGUUGUCCGGAAUUAUUGGGCGUAAAGAGCUCGUAGGCGGUCUGUCGCGUCGGAUGUGAAAAUCCAGGGCUUAACCCUGGGCCUGCAUUCGAUACGGGCAGACUAGAGUUCGGUAGGGGAGACUGGAAUUCCUGGUGUAGCGGUGAAAUGCGCAGAUAUCAGGAGGAACACCGGUGGCGAAGGCGGGUCUCUAGGCCGACACUGACGCUGAGGAACGAAAGCGUGGGGAGCGAACAGG